rnacentral:rRNA from 1 species
GACGAACGCUGGCGGCGUGCUUAACACAUGCAAGUCGAACGAAGUGGCGAACGGGUGAGUAACGCGUAAUCAACCUGCCCUUCAGAGGGGGACACCAGUUGGAAACGUCUGCUAAUACCGCAUACUGAUGGAGGGGAUUGCGUCUGAUUAGCUAGUUGGAGGGGUAACGGCCCACCAAGGCGAUGAUAAGUAGCCGGUCUGAGGGGAUGAACGGCCACAUAUGGACUGGGGCACGGCCCAGGCUCCUACGGGAGGCAGCCAUGGGGAAUCUUUCGCCAUGGACGAAAGUCUGACUGAGCACCGCCGCGUUAGUGAUGGCGGCCUUCGGGUUGUAAAGCUCUGUUAAUCGGGACGCGGUACCGGAAUAGAAAGCCACGGCUAACUACGUGCCAGCAGCCGCGGUAAUUC